UUUGUAAAAUACAUCACAGAACUAGAUUGACACAGAAGUAGGAAGAGAAAAUUAAGAAACUCUGUAUGUAACUGGAGGAAGGAAAGAACCAGUAAGGGUAAGGACAUGCACUUAUCAGUAGAGGGACUGAUAAAUGGUGCCAACAGAAAGAUUAACAGAGAGAAGACCUUUCAUGAUAACUUCAUUUACAUGCAGGAAAACUGAUAUGUCAAGUUAUCUAAGAAACUGAAGGAAGAGAAGCCUAAGAUAGAACUAGAACAUGUACAGCACACUCCAACUAUGAUUAGGUAACAGCAACAGACACUAAGAAGAAGAAAGCCCCACAACUACAAAGCAGCCAUAACCAAGUUAUAGCUGCAUGGUUGGCUAGGAAUUCUGCAACAGGUCACCUGCACCACCAGAUACAGAGUUCUGUUAUAUGGCACGUGACUUUGCACAAACAUACUGCACAGAACACCAAGAAGCAGUAAUGGACUGGGCAGAGAACUGCAUCAACUGAUAUGGAUGAUAAAUCGUGCUGGAAGAUUGUAUCCCUGAGUUACACGUACUUCUCCUGUGCGGCAUUCUAGAAGAAAGCAGACCUUAAAGUAAUCAAAAAUUUCAAAACUGAGUUAAGCAUCCUGGAACUGUUACAGUAUAACAAGUAUAAACUGAAACAAUGUCUCAACAGAUAUGCUUACAGGAUGAGUGGUGCAUCUGUUAUAAGAAAAUCAAGAGCUGAAGAUAUGAUUUAAUAGUGACGAAGGAAAGAAGUAAAAUGGAAAAUGUGAGAUACAUGAAAACUGGAGACAAACAGCAUUUCCAAGCCAUUUCUGAGUCCUUACAUUUAACAAAACAUCAACAUUUAGCAUGAGUUAGAGCACAGUUUUCCCUUCCAUUUUUUUCCCUUGAACUUUUCCACUUCUUUCAUUUUGUCCAGAUAGGUAUAAACAAAUGUGAAUGCUAGAAGACCCACAGCAUUUAUUGUUUUGAUUAUUCCUGAUGCAGUGAUUGGAAAAGCAGGUGCUCUCAUUAAAGUGUACAUUAAUCUUUACUGUCAUAAGAUCAGCAGAAAUCAUAUCCAUCACAGUAGUAAAAUUAACCGAACUAUAGGUCUCAAAUCCAUAAUAAUAUUUCUUUGACAAAUUUUGUGCACUCAGAUAUAUCAAUACCACAAAGAAGAUGCAGAAAAAGAAGUGAUUAGAAAAUCAUACUUUGCACAUCCAACAGAAUAAUGUCAUUCCUUAUUUAAAAUGUUGCAAGUCUUUAUGGCUAUCCCUAUAUGUUUACAAUAUUUUGAUGUUUUUAAAGAGUGCAAUAUAAUUAUUUAAUCUACAAUUUGUACAAUACAAGUAACCACGACUAACUGAAAUUAUAUGCCCAGACUCCACAAUAUUUGAGAUUGGAAGUUUUAAUGAAACUUUGCUUGAGAUGCACUAAUGGUCAAUCAACAAGUACAUGACCAAUGAAUUAAUAAUCUGAACAGGGUGUUACUUGUGACAGUACAAAACUGUCUAGCCACAGGAGCAACCAAUAUUACUGUAAGAUAAAACUGUCACUCAUUAGCUGCAGUCUUACAAUAAUGAAGCUACCCCACAAAUUUGUGAUGUUUGUCCAGUACCUUAAUUGAGUCUUUGUAAACUUUCAUUGUGAGAUGAAAAAUUCACUGUCACUGAGAGGUGACUUAAUGAAAGACCAUAAAUUAACAUUAAGUUAUGUUCAUAUGUGCAUCUGUACUCUGUGUUUUUAAAAUAAAUUUAUUUUAUGAAGUAACUAAACUGAGAUUGUUGGCGUAUAAAUACAAUAAUUUUGAGAGAUUUAUUUUUUUUGUUCCAACUCAGUUACAUGAUUCACAAACAUGUAAAAAAAAAAACACAGUUUCAGAUGGGAUAAUGCUAUAUGCAGACAGUUGGGGUAUACAAAUUCCUUCCCAGGGGGAAAGGGAUGGAGACAGAAAGGGCAUGUGGCCACCCUCUGUCACUAAAAUUGCUGAAUCCAGUAAUUAACAUCUUGACCCCAUGAUGCUAUGGGACAAAGACCAGGAAAAAAGAAGCAGAUUUCUAUGUACACAUUUUAGGUUUCUGUUGACAAAAAGUUGUUACAUGCAACAAAAAUGAUGUUUUUUUAAUUAAUUUUUUAUUCCUGUUUCCCAAAGUUGUCUUAAGACUGCCAAUUAUUCAUGAGGGAAGUAUCACAUUGCCUACAUGUUUUUCUACUGUUUUGCAUUUACUACAAGAAAUUCUCAUAUGUAACAACAUGUUAAUAUGAAAUUUAUUAUGAAUUACUUGCAAUUUUUUCCCUUAAGACUAUGAAAUGCCAUAAUCAGUGUUGACAGAUUUAUGUUUUUAAAUGUAUGAUAAAGAGAUAACAACUCGUGCAUCAUGGCUUACUCCAUCUCACAGAAUAAUCUCAAUCCUCUACAAAAAUAAUCAUCACCUUUGUCCUAAACAUACUAUCUCUUCAAUCAAAAAUAUUUCUCAGAGUUAAAAUGAUAGGUAGUAUUUUUCUCGGAACUAUAUCAUCUUCAUCCAUGCUUUGCAAUGUGUACUUUUUGGAGAGAGAUCUUUUGCCCAGUCUUCAAAACACAGUUUUUCAUUGUCUUUCAUCUUCAGUAGUGUUAAUGGCAAGCCAUAUUAGGGACUUUAUCAAUAUGAUGUUCUUGUAAACACACUGUAUGCAAUAUCUCUUCAGUCAGCCUGUGUAACAGGACAUUUUAAAAAUAUCCUGUUCUAUUUUUAAUGUUCGUACCAGCUAAAGAUGACUGUGGUAGUUGAUAUACAUUAAAUAGCAUAGAAAAAAGGAACAGGUACUGUUUGCCCUGUCUGUGUUGUACAGAGGGUACAUGAGCAGUAGCAACAAGAGCAGUGGCAAGUUGUCAGAGGAUGAGCACCACUCACUUGCUGUACAAGGAUAUGGAUAUGCUUUGACGCUUCAAGUCAGCGGUGUCAUGGAUGGCUUGGAGUAAGACAGCCACCAACAAUGACAAUAAUGACCCAAAAUUAAUCACUUUCUGAUUUAAGAAAAAUGAACUUUGGUGUAUGGCCUAUGGAUCACAUAUAUAAUAUUUUAUUGAUGAUUUAGACUAUUGUGAGUUGUAAUUAAGGGGAUCUGUCAUUGUGAGAGAGGAAGAAUUUAAAAUAUA